GGCCAGGUAGCUCAGUGGUAGAGCAGGAGGCUGAAAACCUCUGUGUCGGGGGUUCGAUUCCCUCCCUGGCCA
rnacentral:tRNA from 2 species